rnacentral:rRNA from 1 species
UGAAUACGAGAUGCUACGGCGUCGAAGCAGUGUAUGUCAGACUUCCAAGAAAAGCUCGCAAUGUCAUAAAUAAAGAAUGCCUGUACCAUAACCGACACAGGUGGGUAGGUAGAGUAUACUAAGGGGCGCGAGAUAACUCUCUCUAAGGAACUCGGCAAAAUAACUCCGUAACUUCGGGAGAAGGAGUGCCUUCUUGAAGAAGGUUGCAAUAACAAGAUCCAAGCAACUGUUUAACAAAAACACAGGUCUCCGCUAAGUCGAAAGACGAUGUAUGGGGGCUGACGCCUGCCCAGUGCCAGAAGGUUAAAGAAGCUGGUUAGCAAUAGCGAAGCUGGUGACUGAAGCCCUGGUGAACGGCGGCCGUAACAAUAACGGUCCUAAGGUAGCGAAAUUCCUUGUCGGGUAAGUUCCGACCCGCACGAAAGGCGUAAUGAUUUGGAUACUGUCUCGGAGAGGGACUCGGUGGAAUAGACUUGUCUGUGAAGAUGCGGACUACCUGCACCAGGACAGAAAGACCCUAUGAAGCUUUACUGUAACUUGAAAUUGAAAUUGACUUUAUUUGCGCAGUAUAGGUGGAAGGCGUUGAGAUUACUCUUGCGGGAUUAGUGGAGCCAUCAGUGAGAUACCACUCCUAUAAUGUUAGAUUUCUAACUUUGGAUCAUAAUCUGGUCAAAGAACAGUUUCAGGCGGGCAGUUUGACUGGGGCGGUCGCCUCCCAAAUGGUAACGGAGGCGUACAAAGGUUUCCUCUGAACGGGUAGAAAUCGUAUCUAGAGUGUAAAGGCAUAAGGAAGCUUGACUGUGAGACCUACAAGUCGAGCAGGGACGAAAGUCGGUCUUAGUGAUCUGACGGUGCUGAGUGGAAAGGCCGUCACUCAACGGAUAAAAGUUACUCUAAGGAUAACAGGCUGAUCUCCCCCAAGAGUUCACAUCGACGGGGAGGUUUGGCACCUCGAUGUCGGCUCAUCGCAUCCUGGGGCGGUAGUACGUCCCAAGGGUUGGGCUGUUCGCCCAUGAAAGCGGUACGCGAGCUGGGUUCAGAACGUCGUGAGACAGUUCGGUCCAUAUCCGGUGUAGGCGUUAGAAUAUUGAGAGGAGCCUUCUUUAGUACGAGAGGACCGAGAAGGACAUACCUCUGUGUACCAGUUAUCGUGCCAACGGUAAACGCUGGGUAGCUAUGUAUGGAGAGGAUAACCGCUGAAAGCAUCUAAGUGGGAAGCCCACCUCAAGAUGAGUAUUCUCA